GACUAACGUGUUAGGUUUUUUAAACAAUUGAAUAGGUGUAAAAAAAACAUGGUAAUAGUUCUCUCAUUUUGUAAAUAAAUCUUGGGCAAACAAUAAAAAUUUCGGAAUUGAGGGAAAAUGAAAAUACAUGUACAUAUCUAGAGAAAUUUUAUAAUAAUAGUUGUAUCUAAGCAUGGGAGGAAUAUAUGAUUAUGAAUUAUAUAAGGCCAGAGUUGUUUCUUUAUUGUUGGUUGAGAUACCUUAAAAUUUAAAAAAAUUUCAGAUAAAAUAAAUUGAAGUUUCAUGCUCUUUCGUUCCCGAUGACUCCAUACAGUACAUUAUCCGUGAAAUAUAUAUAUAACUGUAGCCAUUGAUGUCAAAUUAUGUGCUAUUUUAUUCAUCAACAGAAAUGAUGAAACUGUGAAAAUUAAACCCCCUAAAAUUUACCCGUCAUAUGUUACUUCAAUAAAAGGUGACUGCAUCUGAUGACAUCAAACAGAAGCAGAAAAUUGUAACAAAGAGGCUGCAUGCUUCCUUGUUACGGGGUCAUAAUUUUAUAUGUAAAAUCAUUAGAAAAACAUUGAGGUCAGCUGGAGAUGCUGAAGACGUAAACUUAGCUCUAGCACUGAACUAAUACCAAUUAAACUCACAGUAAGAUUUUCUAAUUUAAUUCCAAGCCAAGUUCUCAUACAAUGGUAAAUGUCAAUACAAUAUGACUCCUACUGUAAAAGUACAAUUCUAUUGAUGUUACUAUCCUACUCUGUUCCUACUUUAAAUUUACAACAUAUUUAUAAUAUUUUAUAAUGACAAGUUAUGAGUAAAUGAAUUCUUUCUAAUUAGCACAAUAGUCACAAUUACAAUUCUGUCAACUUAUAAUACUCAUGCUAUACGUCUGGAUAACAACUCAACCUGAACUUGCUAAUUUUUAUGACAGAUAAAUAAUUUGAAUUAGUCCAAAUCUAUACAAAAAUGUUGAAAUUUAAAAUAACUCAAAAUUCCUGUAUGACAAAAUUAUCUGCAUUUGUCUUAAAGAUAUUACUGAAACAGAUCUUAACUUUUUUAAGUGCACAGCAACUCUUGCCAGUGUCAAUACAAUUUUUAAAGUGUAGCAAGUUUUUUGAAUGGAAAAGUUGUGUCUCACUUUAUGUAUCAUGUAUGUAGUUAUAGAAUUUAUAUCAUUUAUGGUAUAGAACCACUAAUUCAUAGCCCCAUUGCUUUCUAUGUUAAAUUCUGCAAUUUCAAGCAUUAUUGGCUACUUAGUCCUCAGUUCAAAUAAAGUGGCAGUCAUUUCAUGUAAAAACUAUACCUUAUCCUGACUUGUGCUGAAAAAUUUAACAUACCAUGUUCUUUCUGACCAGGUCUGAAUUAGUGGUUCUAUACCUUAUACAUAAUGGAGAGAUAAUGAUUGCCAGUGAUUUCAACAUCCUACAUGCUGAUGUCCUCAGAAAAAACAUGAGAAGAGGGAUUGUCCCCAAUCUUUAAAUAACUCCUUAAAGGGAAUAACUUGUAAUCGGUGCUAAAUUUAGUGUGUAGCUUAUAUAUAUAAUUUAUGAUAAAAAUCUAUUUCUGUAAACAAAUUUUCACCUUUUAUAUUAAAAUUUAAAGCUUGAUGUACUUUCUAUUGUUGAAGACUAGAUAUUGACCUCAACAUGUCUUUUGGUUUUUUUCUGUCUUUGCUGUCUAAUUGCCUACCUUGUACCCAACUUUUCAUUUUAAGACAUUUAAACAAGGAAUUAUUUGAAUAUAGAAUAAUUUUGAAUUCUGGAAAAUUGAUAAAAAAUGUAUGAUGAAAACUAACCCAACUAAGGAGGGUUAGCCAUGCACACAUGGCAAAGAUGGUUAAUUAAUUCAUACUGAAUCAUCAGUGAAAGUAACCUGUGAUCAGUUUCGCAAAAAAUCUUCCAACCAAAGUUGAUCUUAAGUAUACUGAAUUGUUCAUGACUUAGGAUCAACUUUACUUUUCAAGUCUUUAGUCAUAGGAUAUUUUGUGAAACUGGUCACUGAACCUUAGCCUUGUGUGCAUGGCUAACCCUAUUUUAGUUGGGUUAGUUUUCAUCAUACAAUUUUAACAAUUCAAAAUUGUUCCAGAUUCAAAUUAUUCUUUGAUUUCAUAUUCAUUUUUGUCCUGUUAUUCAAAAGAUGUUACUGUUUUUUAGCUUCUAUUAUUUAACAAGUGUAACAUACAUCUUGCCAAUCAUUUUUAACUACCGGUAUAUGACUAAGUUCUUCCCAAUUAUUUUGGUCAUAUAUUAAUUGAUUACUAUAAUUAAACAAAGAAAAAAAAAUGAAAAUAAAAAUACAAUGAACUGGUUUAAUUUUAACUUAAGAAGUUUCUUUGUUAUAAGAUGCUUUAAUACUGGUUUAUAGUGCAGACAAGAUUUGUUUUAUUGUAAUUACUUUUUUCAAGCAAAGCUAAUGUGCCAUAGUUUGUUGUUUCAAACCUUCAAAUUACUAAAUGUAUGCAUAUGUAUUUUACAUUUAAUUGAUAACUAGCAAAUAACUUAAAUAUCACAGAAUUUUUAAAAAAUGUUAGAAUUUAUGUUAGUUAAAUUUGACAAUUUUGGUUUAUGUCAUUCCAGAGUUGUAGAACUGUGUUAAGAAUUUGGGUACAAUGUGAAAAUUUGAUAACUUUUUUAGCACUUACCUUUUUAUGUAAAAUAAAGUACAUGAUGUACAUGAUCAGAUGUAGUACCGUCUAAGAUAAAUAUGAAUAAUUUUUGUGUUUUAUUGUAUCAUGUGCUUUUUCUAUUGUUGAUGGGGGGUAGUUUCAAAAGCAUGAUGUUUAAGUUUAUAUGCUAUCUAUGUUAUGAUUACUUGCUAUAUGUGUUUACUUGUAUGCUAUGUAUGUCAGUGUCAUGUUAUGUAAUAUUAGGUAUGCCAUGUAUAUGUCAGUGUUACCUUAUGUAAUAUCAGUUUCAUGUACUUUAAAAAUGAUAUAAAUGUUUAUACUUGCAUAAGACUUGUAUCUAAGUAUUUCAUUGGUAGCCUAAAUGUCUUGUAUGUUACUGGUUACCUGUAUGAUAGUAUUCCUGUGGUACCUGUAUGUCUCAUAUGUUACUGUGUGAUAGUAUUCUACUGAUAACCUGUAUGUCUACCAAAUAAGAGCAUGUAUAGUACACAGGUUUUAACUUCAAAAUUCUAAUUUCCAGGCAGGGGUUUGGAUUUAAGAUUACUUCAAGCAAGAGUUCAAAGUAAAAGUUAAUUUCACAAUAUUUUUAUUUUUGUUCCACCAUGCUUCCUGUAGGUUGAUAAUGCACAUGUAACCUGCAUGUCUUGUAUUUUUCUUGUAGCCUGUGUUUGCCUGGUCAUCUUUAUUCUGGUAUUUCACUUGAAUCUAAACCAUCUCUCCAGCCUCUUGCAGAUUGCUUGCCUUACUGGGUUAAACUAAAGAUUCUAGAAUUUGUAUUUGUUUCUAUCCUCAGGAAAUCCUGGGCAUUUAGGAGCAAGAAUAAAGAUUUUCUGGCUUGGAUUGGGAAUAAUGUAUCAAAGUAUUUGCUAUGUGUUGCCCUGUGUGCAGGCACUUCCUGCUGAGUGAGAUGGUCAAAUAUAGAGUAUAUUCAUAUUUCAUAUACAUAAAUGUAUAUCCCCUGGAUUAUUUAUACACAAUUUGCCACAGGAUGCUAAGUAACCAUCGAUCAAUCAUUGGUUACCUGAUUAUUAGUAUGUACAUUUUGUAAAUUCACCAUAUUUAUGUAGCCUGGAUUUUGAUUGGUUGAUCAGUCACCUGUGUGUGUUUCACAACCACCAGGGUAUUUGCACAAAGAUAUCUUUUUUAUACCUCUUUUAUGUGGUAUAAAGCCAUAAAAACCAUUACCUGUGCCCUUUUAUUAAAUCUGCUUGUUUUGCUUUUAAAUGUCUUGAUAGCAAGAGAACAGUGUAAUUAAAUAUUGAAUGUUUAACUAAACCAUGUCUAUUGACAUUUGGUCUAAUUUGAUAGAAAUAUCAUAUUCAGAAGGGGUAUUUGUGAAAAGUACCAGACCCGAGAAGAAAUUUCCUUCUACUACAGGCUCAAGAAAUAUUAUCUCUCAACUAAUAUUUUUUUCGCAGAUGCCCCUCCUAUACAUGAUAUAUCUAUCAUUAAUGAUUUCCUGUAUUUAUCUGGAUACCUGUAUGUAAGUAAUGCAUUUGGUUAAUUUUUUUUAAUCAGUUAUGUAUUUAUAAUAUUAUGUAUGAAUUUAUUUGAUACAAUUAAAGAUUUUUAUAUUGUUACUUUUA